AUUUACUGCGGCCCAGUUUUACUUGAUUCAAAGGCACGUCCAAAUAAUGAAUGAAACAAAUUUUCCAAUAGGAAGCUUGUUCAGAAAACUUUCAUAAGAUCAAAUGACCUUUUCAUUUUUUCUCCAACUGCAAUACAGGCCAUUGACGAAAAUUGAGGAAGAAACGAAAAUGUUACCUUUUUAAGACAGAUGAAAUUUUAUGUUUCAUUUGAACACCUGAACAUCGCUUAUGACAUGUCUUAUACGUGCUUUCAAGAGCAAUUCUAUCUCAUUGUAUUUGUGGAAAUUCCUUUCCACUAUAGAUAUAUGUUAUUUCAGUUCACUGAUGUUUAGCUGCGUGAAAUCAUUUAAAUAAAUUACAGUAAUAAAAUUUGCAUUUUUUAGAAAAAUGUUUACAAACUUACUUUUCACGUUUAAUCUUGAAGUAUAAAAGUGAAAGUUGUCUCUUUCUGGAAGUCGACGUUCGCUUGAUGCAGCUUGCACAAAACUGUCUUGAAAGAAUUUCAAAAUUGUAUGUACAUUCCAAAAGCAGAUAGCGUCAUUGGAAUAUUGUCUUCGUAAUAAUUCAUUUUUUAAUUAAAAAUUGAAGAAUAGCAUAAUAUGACGAUAAUUUAUCUUGCCAAAAAGCGAACAAAUCAACGCUCUUUCGUCUAAUUAUUUCCAGAUGAUUUGAAAGAUGCAGCUAAUUGGAAAUAGAGAUAUUUGUCUUCUAAAGCUUAAAGUAUCGCGUCAUCUCAUAAAUCCACAUUUCGUUACAACGUUGAGGUUAAUUAAAGUAUAUUUCAUUUCAUAUUGACAUUGAUAUUGCAAAUCUUGUUGAGUUUAACUAGCUAGCUAUAUAUGACCAAAUUUUUGAUGCAAACGCUACUUGAAUUGAACAAAUCCAUAAAUAAUUGUAGAUAGAUAGGAAGAUUAAUUUGUUGGGAUUAAUUAUACUCACGUUGGUUUUGUUGAAUGAAGUGAAUGAUUUUUAAAUCAAACAAUGAUAUUUUACAAAAGAACAGAGAAACAGUAAAUUUCUCCCUUUAAAUAGAUACUACGAUCAAGAGCUACAACGUGCUUGCUAUAAAAAGAUGAAAUGUUUUGUCUAAUUGUUUCCCUAAGUUCAAGAUUAUCGCAAAGUUAGCGGUUAUGUACAGAUGUCAAACCAACAUAUGCAAUGCUUAUAAGGCAGGUGUUCUUGCUAACAUUUUUCUUCAUAAAUAACAUUUGUGUUUUCAUAAGUACAAAUAUCGCAUCGUAGUUUCUUCACACAUCAAUGUCAUAGUCAAUAAAACUUAAUCAAAUUUACUGAGCAUUCAAUAAAAAUCGAUCGACCAUUGACUAUAUAUUUCUAGAAGAUAAAUUGACGCAACACCCAACCGCUAUGUGCUCGACAGAUUUCAAUCAGAUUUAUUCUUUGCGGCAAUUUGAUCUUUAACUGUUUUUUGCUCAACUUUUGUUAUUGGUAACUCAUCGUCGUCCUUAAAGUUUUCCAACAAGUGAAACAUAAUUGUACCGCAUAUGGAAGCCACAAAAAUAGCACUGAUAAAUCCAGCGAGAAAGAUGAUCACUGAGACGUUUUUCUUAUAACGCAACAUAUGCUGAAAUGAAAAGACAAAAGUUCAACUGUCGGUGUCAGCUCAAAACACGCAGUCAAAGUUCAUCUGAAUUGUUAGAAAUUCAACAAUAGUCUAUAGCGAUGUUAUAAAACUGUGAAAGUGUGUGUUUUCAGCCAUCUGAUUACUGUGAAAUGGCAUUCGUUAGAAAUGGUCAAAUUACUGCUAAAAUUGUAGAAGUUUGCACCUUUACAAAUACUUGUGCUUAAGCUAUAUUUUCAUAAACAUUUAGUCCUUCUCUUUUAAAAUGUUGGCUUGUACAGAUAGCAAUAAUUUAGCAUUAAAUAAAAUGUACAUAUAUAGCAAGUGUCGCCAAGCUUGUAUCUUACGCUCAUUUCGCUUUGAGUCUCUUCAAGAUAAAACUCACUAAAAUAAUAAGAAAACCAAAAUAUUUAUUUGAAUUAAAUGAGGCUCGAAAAUGGACACAAUA